rnacentral:rRNA from 1 species
CGGGUGAGUAAUGCGUGACCGACCUGCCCCAUGCUCCGGAAUAGCUCCUGGAAACGGGUGGUAAUGCCGGAUGUUCCACAUGAUCGCAUGUGAUUGUGGGAAAGAUUUCAUCGGCGUGGGAUGGGGUCGCGUCCUAUCAGCUUGUUGGUGAGGUAACGGCUCACCAAGGCUUCGACGGGUAGCCGGCCUGAGAGGGCGACCGGCCACAUUGGGACUGAGAUACGGCCCAG